rnacentral:rRNA from 1 species
CACGUAGGGCGCAAGCGUUGUCCGGAAUUAUUGGGCGUAAAGAGCUCGUAGGCGGUUUGUCGCGUCUGCUGUGAAAAUCCAGGGCUUAACCCUGGACCUGCAGUGGGUACGGGCAGACUGGAGUGCGGUAGGGGAGAUCGGAAUUCCUGGUGUAGCGGUGAAAUGCGCAGAUAUCAGGAGGAACACCGGUGGCGAAGGCGGAUCUCUGGGCCGUAACUGACGCUGAGGAGCGAAAGCGUGGGUAGCAAACAGG